CUACGGGCGGCUGCAGUGAGGAAUAUUGGGCAAUGGGCGGGAGCCUGACCCAGCCAUGCCGCGUGCAGGAUGACGGCCCUACGGGUUGUAAACUGCUUUUGCACGGGAAGAACGGCCCCGACGUGUCGGGGAUUGACGGUACCGUGCGAAUAAGCACCGGCUAACUCCGUGCCACGGCAGCCGCGGUAAUACGGAGGGUGCAGGCGUUAUCCGGAUUGAUUGGGUUUAAAGGGUGCGUAGGCGGAACUGUAAGUCAGUGGUGAAAUCCCCCCGCUCAACGGGGGAACUGCCAUUGAUACUGCGGUUCUUGAGUACAGUCGAGGUAGGCGGAAUGUGUCAUGUAGCGGUGAAAUGCUUAGAUAUGACCCAGAACACCGAUUGCGUAGGCAGCUUGCUAGACUGUCACUGACGCUGAUGCACGAAAGCGUGGGUAGCGAACAGGAUCAGAUACCAGUGUAGUC
rnacentral:rRNA from 1 species